UUGUCUCAAAGAUUAAGCCAUGCAUGUCUCAGUACAAGCCAUAUUAAGGUGAAACCGCGAAAGGCUCAUUAAAUCAGUUAUGGUUCCUUAGAUCGUACCCACAUUUACUUGGAUAACUGUGGUAAUUCUAGAGCUAAUACAUGCAAACAGAGCUCCGACCGGAGACGGAAGGAGCGCUUUUAUUAGAUCAAAACCAAUCGGUGGCGGGUUCACGCUCGUCAUCGUACAACUUGGUGACUCUGAAUAACUUUACGCUGAUCGCAUGGUCUCGCACCGGCGACGCAUCUUUCAAAUGUCUGCCUUAUCAACUGUCGAUGGUAGGUUCUGCGCCUACCAUGGUUGUAACGGGUAACGGGGAAUCAGGGUUCGAUUCCGGAGAGGGAGCCUGAGAAACGGCUACCACAUCCAAGGAAGGCAGCAGGCGCGCAAAUUACCCACUCCCGGCACGGGGAGGUAGUGACGAAAAAUAACGAUACGGGACUCUUCCGAGGCCCCGUAAUCGGAAUGAGUACACUCUAAACCCUUUAACGAGGAUCAAUUGGAGGGCAAGUCUGGUGCCAGCAGCCGCGGUAAUUCCAGCUCCAAUAGCGUAUAUUAAAGUUGUUGCGGU
rnacentral:rRNA from 1 species